rnacentral:rRNA from 1 species
UACAGAGGGGGCAAGCGUUGUUCGGAAUUACUGGGCGUAAAGGGUGCGUAGGCGGGUCUUAAGUCAGGGGUGAAAUCCUGGAGCUCAACUCCAGAACUGCCUUUGAUACUGAAGAUCUUGAGUUCGGAGAGGUGAGUGGAACUGCGAGUGUAGAGGUGAAAUCGUAGAUAUUCGCAAGAACACCAGUGGCGAAGGCGGCUCACUGGCCCGAUACUGACGCUGAUGCACGAAAGCGUGGGGAGCAAACAGGA